AGAUCUGCUCGCUCUCUGACAGCUGAUACGCACCUCCCCCUUCCGGGUUUACCUGGCUGCAGGUUCGGCAGACGCUCGGCACUCUCUGCAGGGUUGUGCAAAUUGUUCCACCGUGCAGGCGCUGGCAGGUCGGACUGCGUGUUUGCUCGUUUUGUCCCGGAGCUAUGCCACGCUGAGGUCCCGACUGCCCUGACCCGUUUUGGACUGCUGCUGCUUUGUGUGGGGAUAAAACCCACACUUUUUACGGACCUUGCCUGCUGCUGCGUUCGGGUGCUGAGGGCCUCACUGGUGAUCCUGUUUGGUGAUGGUGUCCCUUCGUGUGUAGUGUCUUAUUCACUCCCCUCCUUUGUUUUGCUUUGCCCUUGUGUGUUUGGAGUGUUAAUUUUGGAUUGUGGUGCUCCCAUUUUAAGUUUAUACUUUCACCCCUCACUCACCUUGAGCACAAAUGCCCCAGCCCUGGAAUACAUGAUAAUUUAUACAAAUAGGAUAACUUUUUUAGAUUUGAAUUGUGCCCAAUAAACUGUUGUAUAUGCUUUUGGAAACACGUCUCUCGCCUGCUCAGUGUAACGAACUUGUGUUGUCCUUUUGUUUAGAUUUAGUAAUUUACCUUAUUCAUAGAUUUCUUUCUUUUCCCUGGGUGAUUUCUCCCAGGGUGGCGUUGCUGGUUUCCUUUAGUUUCUUUCUUUUUCCCCUAGUUAAAAACAUAGAUUAUUGGGGUAGUUCCUACCCCACCUCACGCUUGCCACAAACUUGGCGUUGCUGGCAGGACUUAUACUGAAAAAAAAAAAGGCAGAGACGUGUGUUCCUUUGUUUUUUGUUGUUUGUUUUUUUGUUUUUUUUGUUUUUCUGAAUAAGACAAAGCAGCAGCAGUCCCCUGGCAACCAUGGAGGAAGAAAUGCAAGAGUUGCGAGCUCUGGUUGCGCAGUUAAAGGCUGACAAUGAGAGGUUGCGUCAAGCUUCGUUGGUGCCGCCCUCUAGUGCUACACCUUCAACCUCCUCAGUACUGCCGACUGCCCUUACUUCUGCCAGUGCCCCUGCAGCCGAGAGGAAUCGCAGAGGUCCCAUCCACUGUAGCCAUUGUAGCUUCUCACACCGCCUUACCUACCGU
ensembl:lncRNA